rnacentral:rRNA from 1 species
AUUGAACGCUGGCGGCAGGCCUAACACAUGCAAGUCGAACGGUAACAGGAAACAGCUUGCUGUUUCGCUGACGAGUGGCGGACGGGUGAGUAAUGUCUGGGAAACUGCCUGAUGGAGGGGGAUAACUACUGGAAACGGUAGCUAAUACCGCAUAACGUCGCAAGACCAAAGAGGGGGACCUUCGGACCUCUUGCCAUCGGAUGGGCCCAGAUGGGAUUAGCUAGUAGGUGGGGUAAAGGCUCACCUAGGCGACGAUCCCUAGCUGGUCUGAGAGGAUGACCAGCCACACUGGAACUGAGACACGGUCCAGACUCCUACGGGAGGCAGCAGUGGGGAAUAUUGCACAAUGGGCGCAAGCCUGAUGCAGCCAUGCCGCGUGUAUGAAGAAGGCCUUCGGGUUGUAAAGUACUUUCAGCGGGGAGGAAGGGAGUAAAGUUAAUACCUUUGCUCAUUGACGUUACCCGCAGAAGAAGCACCGGCUAACUCCGUG